rnacentral:rRNA from 1 species
CCUACGGGGGGCAGCAGUGGGGAAUAUUGCACAAUGGGGGAAACCCUGAUGCAGCGACGCCGCGUGAGUGAAGAAGUAUUUCGGUAUGUAAAGCUCUAUCAGCAGGGAAGAAGAAAGACGGUACCUGACUAAGAAGCCCCGGCUAACUACGUGCCAGCAGCCGCGGUAAUACGGAGGGGGCAAGAGUUAUCCGGAUUUACUGGGUGUAAAGGGAGCGUAGACGGCUGUGCAAGUCUGAAGUGAAAGCCCAGGGCUCAACCCGGGGACUGCAUUGGAAACUGUGGAGCUAGAGUCCGGGGGAGGUAAGUGGAAUUCCUAGUGUAGCGGUGAAAUGCGUAGAUAUGAGGAAGAACACCGGUGGCGAAGGCGGCUUACUGGACAGUAACUGACGUUGAGGCUCGAAAGCGUGGGGAGCGAACAGGAUUAGAUACCCUAGUAGUC